CGCGAAGCCGAGUAUCCGCCCUGGCGGCAGGUCGGGGCUGGCCCUGAGGGGAGCCUGAGCGGCGGCUCGGCACCGGUGGCAGCCCUGAGGCGUGGGGACGGCCGGCGGAGAGGCGAUCCCUCUGGCCCCGCGGCUGCCGAGAUGCCCUCGGAGGAACCGUGCUGAGGGGCAGUGAAGUGACUCGGGGGCGAAGGGCAUGCCGGGGGGAGGAGGGAGUGGCGUGGAGGCGGCCCAAGAGCGGCCUGUGGCCUAAGGUUCCAUCCCCUUGGCAAAGGCAGGCCGUGAGUAACCAACUGCCUGGAAGCCUCAAAGGAGCCGUGAGGGGAAGGCACACGCUGGGUGCCAGACGCGCAGGAAGCUGUGGUGGGAAGGAGCACACAAAGGGAUAUAAUGUCUCCUCUUGGGACCACAACAUAUGGGCAGAGACGGGGCUCAGUUUGCAGUAAGCUUCCGCCUCUGAACAGCUUGCAGUGCCCGACAGAUCCAAGGGAACUAUUUGACCUCCCUGCAUGUGCCUUUCAGUCAGUCCUCAUCAGUGUGCUGCUGCGGGUAGAGCAGACACGAAAAUUUGAGUAGGACCACUUUAAAGCAGGUAUUGUAAGAACAAAAAAAAAAUCUCUUUGCCUUUUUUUUUUUUGGUUAAGCUCUCUGGCAAGAUGUUGAAGUUGCAUUUUAAUAUU
rnacentral:lncRNA from 1 species